rnacentral:lncRNA from 1 species
ACCUUAAAGGGAAACUUCGCAAAAAAAUCAAAAAUUGAUAUUAUGUUUAUUCUGUAUAAAAAUGCUGAAGUUCAUAGAUAUUAAAGUUUUAUUCUGCUAGAUAAGAGAUCACCAUCGAUUUUAAAUUUAGAGUAUCAAUUCUCUGAGGUCAGCCAUUUUGUCACCUUCUCCGAUUUGCAGUCACGAUAUGUCUAAGGACCAAAACUACAGUAACCCGAUGUAGUCGUAAUUGCGUGUCGAUAUCUCGUCAAUCGUACGGUUGUUUUAUCCGACUAGUUAACUAGUUAACUAACUUGAUACGGAAAAUGUUCUUCUUUUUUUUUUUUAAAUAACCAUGAUCUGUUAUUUUUAGACUGAUAAUAUAGGAAUUUAAUAGUGAAAAAGUCAAAAUUUCAAAUCAUAAAUAAGUCUUCCGUGAAACUUGAAUUGUUUUCGGAAAUCUAAUUAGUUCAUAAUUCUUUUAUGUAAUAAACUUUAUUCAAAUAAAUUAGGAUCUUCGCUCCACUGAUCACCCGCAUGGCUAAAGGUAUUACUCCCAAAGAUAUUGUAGGGGGUGUGAGGUGACACGUCCAGGUAUUCAAGCGAUUUCCUGUCGAGUUUGCAAAUUCAUGCAUCGUUUCACUUCAUAGUGUAUUGAUAAGUGUACACGGCCGAUAACUUAUAACUUUCCAUUUUGAACUAUUAGGUGUAUAAUAUACAUCUCUAUCUUGCGUGUCCGAAAGUGAUAUUACUAAACUCAUACGCUUGUUUAUGAAUAACAUUUCUGGUGAAAAGAAAAUUAUUUAUAAAAAUAUAAAUAAUACCAAAAAAAAAC